GUGAGGAAUAUUGGUCAAUGGGCGAAAGCCUGAACCAGCAACGCCGCGUGAGGGAUGAAGGCCUUCGGGUCGUAAACCUCUUUUCUGGGAGAAGAGACAAGGACGGUAUCCCAGGAAUAAGUCUCGGCUAACUACGUGCCAGCAGCCGCGGUAAAACGUAGGAGGCAAGCGUUAUCCGGAUUUACUGGGCGUAAAGCGCACGCAGGCGGCUGCGUAAGUCGGACGUGAAAGCUCCUGGCUCAACUGGGAGAGGUCGUUCGAAACUGCGCGGCUUGAGGUUGGAAGAGGAGAGCGGAAUUCCCGGUGUAGUGGUGGAAUGCGUAGAUAUCGGGAGGAACACCAGUGGCGAAAGCGGCUCUCUGGUCCACACCUGACGCUCAGGUGCGAAAGCGUGGGUAGCGAACGGGAUUAGAUACCCGAGUAGUCC
rnacentral:rRNA from 1 species